rnacentral:tRNA from 2 species
AAGAAAUUAGUUAAAACAUAACAUUAAUAUGUCAUAUUAAAAUUAUUAUAUUAUAAUAUUUCUUG